rnacentral:rRNA from 1 species
GACGAACGCUGGCGGCGUGCUUAACACAUGCAAGUCGAACGGAAAGGCCCUGCUUUUGUGGGGUGCUCGAGUGGCGAACGGGUGAGUAACACGUGAGUAACCUGCCCUUGACUUUGGGAUAACUUCAGGAAACUGGGGCUAAUACCGGAUAGGAGCUCCUGCUGCAUGGUGGGGGUUGGAAAGUUUCGGCGGUUGGGGAUGGACUCGCGGCUUAUCAGCUUGUUGGUGGGGUAGUGGCUUACCAAGGCUUUGACGGGUAGCCGGCCUGAGAGGGUGACCGGGGACACGGGGACGGAGAGACGGACAAGACGGGGAGGGGAGGCAGAAGGGGGGAACGUGGGGGAAUGGGCGGAAGCCGGAUGGAGCAACGCUGCGUGCGGGAGGAAGGCGUGGGGGUGGGAAAGAGCUAUAGACUGUGAAGAAGAGGGAGUGACGGUAAUGGGGAAAGAAGCAAAGGAUAACUACGUG